CCCCUAGAUGUUCUGGGCCGCACGCGCGCUACACUGAACAGUUCAACAAGUCUUAACCUUGGCCGAUAGGUCUGGGUAAUCUUUGAACACUGUUCGUGAUUGGGAUAGACCUUUGCAAUUAUGGGUCUUCAACGAGGAAUUCCUAGUAAACGCAAGUCAUCAGCUUGCAUUGAUUACGUCCCUGCCCUUUGUACACACCGCCCGUCGCACCUACCGAUUGAAUGGUCCGGUGAAAUCUCGGGACGGCGGCUUGGUCGCUUGCGUCCGACUGCUGAAACUUGAUUAAACCAUACCAUUUAGAGGAAGGUGAAGUCGUANCA
rnacentral:rRNA from 1 species